rnacentral:rRNA from 1 species
GACGAACGCUGGCGGCGUGCUUAACACAUGCAAGUCGAACGGAAAGGCCCUGCUUGCAGGGUACUCGAUUGGCGAACGGGUGAGUAACACGUGGGUGAUCUGCCCUGCACUUCGGGAUAAGCCUGGGAAACUGGGUCUAAUACCGGAUAUGACCUUCCAUGUAGUGUGGGGGGUGGGAAGAUUUAUCGGUGUGGGAUGAGCCCGCGGCCUAUCAGCUUGUUGGUGGGGUAAUGGCCUACCAAGGCGUCGACGGGUAGCCGGCCUGCGUGGGUGGACGGCCACAUUGGGACUGAGAUACGGACCAGAAUCCUACGGGAGGCAGCAGUGGGGAAUAUUGCACAAUGGGCGGAAGCCUGAUGCAGCGACGCCGCGUGGGGGAUGACGGCCUUCGGGUUGUAAACCUCUUUCGACAGGGACGAAGCUUCGGUGACGGUACCUGUAUAAGAAGCACCGGCUAACUACGUG